GCCUAAUCAAGUCAAGCCGAGCCGAGCCGAGCUAGCCGCUACACAAGAGUUAGAAAAAUGGCAGUCCAACCACGUCCGUACCAGUUAUUUCCUCGCAGGCCAACAGCUCAAACCAGCAUGGAUGCUUUGGUGUCAGUCUUGUGGUGGAGACUCUUCCCUGGAAAGUACGUUGGACAAAACCACAAGCUGGAUCAAAUCUUUGCCGAGAUGUCCAUUAGUCCAGUACAGGCGACCCUCCCUCUCUGGCCCUACUAUUUUGACCAGGUCACUUGCAGACUUCCUACCAGAGACCAAGUGAAACAUAUGGAGAGCAGCAACCUCAGCUUGCAAUGCUUCGACUCAUGGGCAGGCUUAAAACAAGACAAGCAGAGGGCCGCAGAGCAGCAUGGAAGACGGCAUGUAAGCACUAAACGAGAGGCCCGGCCCAGAAAUGGUGUCCACAUGACAAAACUCUGUCAACUCCAAGAGAACACUGGCUGGAGCACAUCCACGAGACAGUACACGUAUAUGAUGUACGGCCAUCGCCGCUAACUACCAACAACCUCAAGUUUUUGUCUCAUAGAUGUUACUAAA